rnacentral:misc_RNA from 1 species
AACUGGAUAAUGUUAUGAAACAACCUGCGGAAGGUUUCUUGAUUUAAGCCAGACAUGCUUCUAGGCUGUUUAAAGAACCUGGCAAUCUUGAUAUACUUUUGUUCCAAGCAGUGAAGUAAGAAAAAGGAGGUAUUUUAUCAUUGUUGUUGUUUGUCUUUGCAACUUGUUGCCUGUAUUAACAACCUGAAAGGGAGGAAGGAAACCUCUGUAUUUAGGUUAUCAGAUGUUUUACAUCCAUUUCAUGUUAGAAGCAGCACACUUUGCCUUUUCCAGCUGAGUAAUUGGGGCAGUGGACUACACAAUUUAUGAUCUUGAUGAAUGCUGAUUUG